rnacentral:rRNA from 1 species
AGUGAACGCUGGCGGUAGGCCUAACACAUGCAAGUCGAACGGCAGCACAGUAAGAGCUUGCUCUUACGGGUGGCGAGUGGCGGACGGGUGAGGAAUACAUCGGAAUCUACUUUUUCGUGGGGGAUAACGUAGGGAAACUUACGCUAAUACCGCAUACGACCUACGGUUGAAAGCAGGGGAUCUUCGGACCUUGCGCGAUUGAAUGAGCCGAUGUCGGAUUAGCUAGUUGGCGGGGUAAAGGCCCACCAAGGCGACGAUCCGUAGCUGGUCUGAGAGGAUGAUCAGCCACACUGGAACUGAGACACGGUCCAGACUCCUAAGGGAGGCAGCAGUGGGGAAUAUUGGACAAUGGGCGCAAGCCUGAUCCAGCCAUACCGCGUGGGUGAAGAAGGCCUUCGGGUUGUAAAGCCCUUUUGUUGGGAAAGAAAAGCAGCAGGUUAAUACCCCGCUGUUCUGACGGUACCCAAAGAAUAAGCACCGGCUAACUUCGUG